rnacentral:misc_RNA from 1 species
CUCAGGCGUCGCUAGGGUUUCCUCCUCUCAUCGGAGCUAGGGUUCCGGCGAGCAAGCACAGGAUGUUCGGGCGGCAGCCGAAGAAGAGCGACAGCACGCGCUACUACGAAAUCCUCGGCGUUCAGAAGGAUGCGUCGCCGGAUGACCUCAAGAAGGCGUACCGCAAGGCCGCCAUCAAGAACCACCCCGAUAAGGGCGGCGAUCCCGAAAAGUUCAAGGAGUUGGCUCAGGCUUAUGAGGUUUUGAGUGACCCUGAGAAACGUGAGAUUUAUGAUCAAUAUGGAGAGGAUGCCCUCAAGGAAGGAAUGGGCGGCGGUGGCGGCGGCCAUGAUCCAUUUGAUAUCUUCCAAUCCUUCUUUGGUGGGAGCCCCUUUGGAGGUGGUGGAAGCAGCCGUGGACGCAGGCAAAGGAGGGGAGAGGAUGUGGUUCAUCCUCUCAAGGUAUCUCUUGAGGACCUGUACAAUGGGACUUCGAAGAAGCUCUCCCUUUCUCGCAAUGUCAUUUGUUCUAAAUGCAAGGGAAAAGGGUCAAAAUCUGGUGCUUCAAUGAAAUGUGCUGGGUGCCAGGGAUCUGGUAUGAAGGUCUCAAUCCGUCAGCUAGGACCUUCCAUGAUUCAGCAGAUGCAGCACCCUUGCAAUGAGUGCAAGGGCACAGGAGAAAGUAUUAAUGACAAAGACCGCUGCCCGCAGUGCAAGGGUGAGAAGGUUGUUCAGGAAAAGAAAGUCUUGGAGGUGCAUGUUGAAAAGGGUAUGCAGAAUGGCCAGAAGAUAACCUUCCCUGGAGAGGCUGAUGAAGCGCCUGAUUGCGUCACUGGUGAUAUUGUGUUUGUCCUCCAACAAAAAGAUCACCCUAAAUUCAAGAGAAAGGGUGAUGAUUUGUUUGUUGAACACACACUCUCCCUUACUGAAGCCCUCUGUGGUUUUAGGUUUGUGUUGACCCAUUUAGAUAAUCGGCAGCUGCUAAUUAAAUCCGAGCCCGGUGAAGUUGUCAAGCCUGAUCAAUUCAAGGCAAUAAAUGAUGAGGGUAUGCCAAUGUAUCAGAGGCCCUUCAUGAGGGGGAAGCUUUACAUCCACUUCACAGUUGACUUCCCUGACUCACUGACGCCUGACCAGGUUAAGGCUCUUGAGAGUGUGCUGCCGUCGAGGGCUGCAUCACAGCUGACUGAUAUGGAGUUGGAUGAAUGUGAGGAGACAACUAUGCAUGAUGUCAACAUUGAGGAUGAGAUGAGGAGGAAGCAGUCGCAGGCCCAGGAGGCUUAUGAUGAAGAUGAGGACAUGCCGGGAGGUGCUCAAAGGGUGCAGUGCGCUCAGCAGUAAGGAGAUGAUGAUGAUAGCUGGAUGUUUAGGAUCUGAAUAUGCUGUCAGUUAACUUUUAUCCACUCUAUAUUUUUAUGGUAUAUCAUAAUUGUCCCCUCGUUCAGUCGUUACAGAUCUGAACUUGUAACUUCUUGCUUAAGACUACCCUGGUUUUAUAAG